ACCUAGUGAUGUGGGCAUGUAUGGAGUAGGUCCCUAAAGUGCUCCCAAGUCUCGAAAAAGAGUUCCCCAUCCAUCUGUGAGAAAAUUAUGAUGGCUCUCUGAAGCU